ACAACUGGUCAUCAAUUUAUUAAAAUAGUUGACUUAAGCAUCUGCAAUGGUGACUUCCACCUCAACUCCUGGCUCAAUACUGAUGGAAGUAAUCUGCUUAACAAUCUCAGAAGGACUGUGCAAGUCAAUGAGUCGCUUGUGAAUUCUCAUCUGGAAACGAUCCCACGUCUUAGAACCUUCACCACAAGGAGUUUUUCUUGUAG
rnacentral:lncRNA from 1 species